UGGGGAAUUUUGGACAAUGGGCGAAAGCCUGAUCCAGCCAUGCCGCGUGCAGGAUGAAGGCCUUCGGGUUGUAAACUGCUUUUGUACGGAACGAAAAGACUCUGGUUAAUACCUGGGGUCCAUGACGGUACCGUAAGAAUAAGCACCGGCUAACUACGUGCCAGCAGCCGCGGUAAUACGUAGGGUGCAAGCGUUAAUCGGAAUUACUGGGCGUAAAGCGUGCGCAGGCGGUUAUAUAAGACAGAUGUGAAAUCCCCGGGCUCAACCUGGGAACUGCAUUUGUGACUGUAUAGCUAGAGUACGGCAGAGGGGGAUGGAAUUCCGCGUGUAGCAGUGAAAUGCGUAGAUAUGCGGAGGAACACCGAUGGCGAAGGCAAUCCCCUGGCCUGUACUGACGCUCAUGCACGAAAAGCAUGGGGAGCAAACAGGAUUAGAUACCCUGGUNGUCCACGCCCUAAACGAUGUCAACUGGUUGUUGGGUCUUUCACUGACUCAGUAACGAAGCUAACGCGUGAAGUUGACCGCCUGGGG
rnacentral:rRNA from 1 species